rnacentral:rRNA from 1 species
UUGCACUACUGUCCGGCGAGUGGCGAACGGGUGAGUAAUAUAUCGGAACGUACCGAGUAAUGGGGGAUAACCAAUCGAAAGAUUGGCUAAUACCGCAUACGUCCUACGGGAGAAAGCGGGGGAUCGCAAGACCUCGCGUUAUUCGAGCGGCCGAUAACUGAUUAGCUAGUUGGUGGGGUAAAGGCCUACCAAGGCGACGAUCAGUAGCGGGUCUGAGAGGACGAUCCGCCACACUGGGACUGAGACACGGCCCAGACUCCUACGGGAGGCAGCAGUGGGGAAUUUUGGACAAUGGGGGCAACCCUGAUCCAGCCAUGCCGCGUGUAUGAAGAAGGCCUUCGGGUUGUAAAGUACUUUUGUUAGGGAAGAAAAGGGAAGUGCUAAUACCACUUUUUGCUGACGGUACCUAAAGAAUAAGCACCGGCUAACUACGUGCCAGCAGCCGCGGUAAUACGUAGGGUGCGAGCGUUAAUCGGAAUUACUGGGCGUAAAGCGAGCGCAGACGGUUAUUUAAGCAGGAUGUGAAAUCCCCGGGCUCAACCUGGGAACUGCGUUCUGAACUGGAUAGCUAGAGUGUGUCAGAGGGGGGUAGAAUUCCACGUGUAGCAGUGAAAUGCGUAGAGAUGUGGAGGAAUACCGAUGGCGAAGGCAGCCCCCUGGGAUAACACUGGCGUUCAUGCUCGAAAGC